UCCUUUUCGGGGGUAACAAUUAAAAGGGAAUCAGGUGUAAAUCCUGAACAGUCCCGCUGCUGUAAGUUUCGUUAAAAACGUGGUAAGCAAAUAACCAAUAGCCACUGAAGAAGUUCGGGAAGGCGCUUGCCAACGGAAACAAGUCAGAAGACCUGCCGGUACAUA
rnacentral:ncRNA from 1 species